GCGGUGUGUGAAGAAGCUUAUGGUGUAAAGCACUAUAAGCACGAGGAUGCUACUUGAUAAUACCUAUAGAUAUUGGACGUUACCACACAAUAACCAGCAGGCUAACUCUGUGCCAGCAGCCGCGGUAAUACAGAGGGUGCAAGCGUUAAUCGGAUUUACUGGGCGUAAAGCGCGCGUAGGCGGCUAAUUAAGUCAAAUGUGAAAUCCCCGAGCUUAACUUGGGAAUUGCAUUCGAUACUGGUUAGCUAGAGUGUGGGAGAGGAUGGUAGAAUUCCAGGUGUAGCGGUGAAAUGCGUAGAGAUCUGGAGGAAUACCGAUGGCGAAGGCAGCCAUCUGGCCUAACACUGACGCUGAGGUGCGAAAGCAUGGGGAGCAAACAGGAUUAGAUACCCUGGUAGUCCAUGCCGUAAACGAUGUCUACUAGCCGUUGGGGCCUUUGAGGCUUUAGUGGCGCAGCUAACGCGAUAAGUAGACCGCCUGGGGAGUACGGUCGCAAGACUAAAACUCAAAUGAAUUGACGGGGGCCCGCACAAGCGGUGGAGCAUGUGGUUUAAUUCGAUGCAACGCGAAGAACCU
rnacentral:rRNA from 1 species